rnacentral:lncRNA from 1 species
GCUUAACAAAAACCAAAUCUUAUGAUGCUCGAUAGAGGUUCAGGUGGUGUGGGCAUAUUGUCUGACUAACAAAGUAAUUUAAAACCCUCUAUCAAAAUCAACUCGGAUUCAAAGCAACAGAGCUUGAGAUCCUUCUGUGGGUUCAUAAAUCAAAUAGAGAAAGAAUAUCAGACAAAAAAAUUAAGAGGAUAAAACAAGGUUGAUCAGAUGACACUAUCUGACAUCCC